ACCGCCUGGUCCCCAAAGUCAAACUCCACUUCCUGUUCUCUGUACUUCCUCUUGCCUGCCCUCACGGGUCGUUGUUAUUGACUGUCAACUCGAUAGGAUCUACAGUUGCCGAGGAGGCAAACCUCUGGGCAUGUCUGCAAGGUCUCUAUGGCAGCCAGCAUAGACUGAUGCUCACGGUGGAUUAAAGACAAAAAAAAGCACAGGCUCUAACAUGGGGAAGCCGCUUCGUCAGGAGUCGCCUCCAUUUUCUCACCCAUCCAAUGGAAAGCGGGAAAUCAGAGAGCCGAAGACAAGCAAGGAAAGUCUUCCAAGAUAUCCAGGCCCAACUGUGGGGUUCAGGCAGGGCACCGAGCACCGUGGGGGGCCUGUCUGACAAACCUCCAACGGAAUCCAGAGUUCUCGAGAGUGAGGUCUAAACACCGGCCCCACCACACACAGGCACAGCCUGGGCCCAGAAGAUGAUGAGCGAAAAUGAAGAGCACCUCAGGGGACCCUCCCACAGACAGUCUGUCACCCAGUGAGUCUGCCAUUCCGUUUCAAAGUUUAAUUAGAGAGUCGCUUUCCAACGCUUAGAUGCAAUUAACCCCCCGGAGCCGUCCUGGUGACGCCGUAACUGACACGGGCCACAGAUGCCCACCGUGGCUCUCGGAAUCACAGAUUGGAAGGGAUUCUCAAGCAGGAAGAUAAGUGACAAAGAUCUGUGGUUUUCAGGAGAAAACUUACUUCCUAAGAGUCAGAUGGAACAAGCCUCUCCCAUCUGAGAGACUAACUUUCCCCUGGAGGCCCCCUUCAUGACACACAGCCCCCUCCAGCACAGACAGUCCUGACGUUCCUGUGGAGGAAGAGUCAGGGCCUCCAAGCUGAGCCCCCAGACUGGUGCUCAGUGAGCUAUGCGCGCGCAUCCUCCUGGCCCGGCAUGGUUGCUACUGCACUGGUCUUCUUUCCCAGUAACUCAGUUAGAGAGCAGAGACACUCUGUUCGCUUUUCCCCGGGUUGUACACGAUGUUCAUGUACAAGAUGGCCCAAGGUCAAAAAGAACUCAAAGGGUUCCAGACAAAUUUCAGAGCAAUUUGUCUAUGGGAAUGACCUUUUAAAGCCAGACAUAUCAGUCGGGUGAUGACGCACGCCUUUAAUCCCAGCACUCGGGAGGCAGAAGCAGGUGGAGCUCUGUGAGUUGGAGGC